rnacentral:rRNA from 1 species
GACCUCGGAUCAGGUAGGGAUACCCGCUGAACUUAAGCAUAUCAAUAAGCCCGGAGG